GUGAGGAAUAUUGGGCAAUGGGCGCAAGCCUGACCCAGCAACGCCGCGUGAAGGAAGACGGUCUUCGGAUUGUAAACUUCUUUUGUCAGGGACGAAUAAUGACGGUACCUGGCGAAUAAGCCACGGCUAACUACGUGCCAGCAGCCGCGGUAAUACGUAGGUGGCAAGCGUUGUCCGGAUUUACUGGGUGUAAAGGGCGAGUAGGCGGAUUUGCAAGUCAGGUGUGAAAGCCCGGGGCUUAACCCCGGGUCUGCAUUUGAAACUGCGGAUCUUGAGUAUCGGAGAGGCAGGCGGAAUUCCCGGUGUAGCGGUGGAAUGCGUAGAUAUCGGGAGGAACACCAGUGGCGAAGGCGGCCUGCUGGACGACAACUGACGCUGAGGAGCGAAAGCGUGGGGAGCAAACAGGAUUAGAAACCCCUGUAGUCC
rnacentral:rRNA from 1 species